CUACGAAGGGGGCUAGCGUUGUUCGGAAUUACUGGGCGUAAAGCGCGUGUAGGCGGAUCGUUAAGUCAGGGGUGAAAGCCCGGGGCUCAACCCCGGAACUGCCCUUGAUACUGGCGAUCUAGAGUCCGGAAGAGGUGGGCGGAAUUCCCGGUGUAGAGGUGAAAUUCGUAGAUAUCGGGAGGAACACCAGUGGCGAAGGCGGCUCACUGGUCCGGUACUGACGCUGAGACGCGAAAGCGUGGGGAGCAAACAGGAUUAGAAACCCUAGUAGUCC
rnacentral:rRNA from 1 species